rnacentral:rRNA from 1 species
UACGUAGGGGCUAGCGUUGUCCGGAAUCAUUGGGCGUAAGGGCUCGUAGGCGGUUUGUCGCGUCGGGAGUGAAAACACCGGGCUUAACUCGGUGCUUGCUUUCGAUACGGGCAGACUAGAGGCAUGCAGGGGAGAACGGAAUUCCUGGUGUGAGCGGUGGAAAUACGCAGAGUAUCAGGAGGAACACCGGUGGCGAAGGCGGUUCUCUGGAACGGAACUGACGCUGAGGCGCGAAGCGUGGGAGCGAACGG